rnacentral:rRNA from 1 species
GACGAACGCUGGCGGCGUGCUUAACACAUGCAAGUCGAACGGAAAGGCCCUGCUUGCAGGGUGCUCGAGUGGCGAACGGGUGAGUAACACGUGGGUGAUCUGCCCCUUACUUUGGGAUAAGCCUGGGAAACUGGGUCUAAUACUGGAUAGGACCAUGCUGUAGGUGGUGUGGUGGAAAGAUUAGUUUCGGUAAGGGAUGAGCUCGCGGCCUAUCAGCUUGUUGGUGGGGUAAUGGCCUACCAAGGCGUCGACGGGUAGCCGGCCUGAGAGGGUGGACGGCCACAUUGGGACUGAGAUACGGCCCAGACUCCUACGGGAGGCAGCAGAGGGGAAUAGUGCACAAUGGGCGCAAGCCUGAUGCAGCGACGCCGCGUGGGGGAUGACGGCCUUCGGGUUGUAAACUCCUUUCAGCCAUGACGAAGCCCUUGUGGUGACGGUAGUGGUAGAAGAAGCACCGGCUAACUACGUG